UGGGGGAUAUUGCACAAUGGGCGAAAGCCUGAUGCAGCGACGCCGCGUGGGGGAUGAAGGCCUUCGGGUUGUAAACUUCUUUUGCUCUGAACAAGGCAUGCCUUUGGGGUGUGUUGAGUGUAGGGGUUGAUUAGCGCCGGCUAACUACGUGCCAGCAGCCGCGGUAAUACGUAGGGCGCGAGCGUUGUCCGGAAUUAUUGGGCGUAAAGGGCUUGUAGGUGGCUGGUUGCGUCUGUCGUGAAAGCUCAUGGCUUAACUGUGGGUUUGCGGUGGGUACGGGCUGGCUUGAGUGCAGUAGGGGAGGCUGGAAUUCCUGGUGUAGCGGUGGAAUGCGCAGAUAUCAGGAGGAAUACCGGUGGCGAAGGCGGGUCUCUGGGCUGUUACUGACGCUGAGGAGCGAAAGCGUGGGGAGCGAACA
rnacentral:rRNA from 1 species